AUCCGUCGUAACGUUGCUACUGUGUAAGACUUGAAAACUGAUCGCACCCAUUCCCGCGGCCACAGAUCUAGAGUAUCAUAUCUCGGUUAUAGAGUACCAUAUCUCGGCUACUAAAUUGUUGGUUUUGUCUUGUCAACCUCUACUCUCGCAGACAACGAAGAAGACGGAUGACUCACGGAUAAUCUCGGUCACCUGAUCUCGAGCUCUCUUCAGACGCAGAACGUGAAAUCUGAGAAACAAAAACUCGGACAUCCGGGAUCACAUCCCCGUCAGUCGCGUUUCUACAAGACGAAUUGAGACGUUAGUCGUGUCUGUUGAAAGGGCGGUGAGAAAGGUGAGACAUAAUCUCGGUCACGGUAUGAGCACACUCCUUGGGUUCUACAGCUUUCAGGUAAGUGGUCCUACCUUCAUUGGGCAUUGUACAUACGGUCACAGUCGACUAAGACUGAUUGAAAUGUUUUGUAGUGAAUUUGUAGAACGUACUACUAGUACAGUGUAGCAAACAUUAGUUGUUCUGUCUGAACUAUGUGUUUGACACUAAGAUAACAUUUAAUUAGUACAUCUGGUUUAGUGCUAAUUAGUAGAUUUUGCGAGUGAUAGGUUAAUCGUCAUGGAGUUGUAAUACAUUAGAUCCAUUUUUGGUACAAGAUGCCUUUUCAGUAUGCAAGACUCGAUCUACAGAAACUGUGUACUAUGAUCUUGUUGAUUGUAAGAUUUAGCUACAUCUGCUAUUAUCAACAACACUGCAUGCUUGAUUAUACAGAAGGGUUAGUUGGAUAUCUUCACUAGACUAAUUAUGGCAACAAGUUACCAUUUUUAUGAGUUCUCAACAUCUAUAGCUCUUGUAAGGAUAAAUUUACAAAGC